GGUUAAGCGACUAAGCGUACACGGUGGAUGCCCUGGCAGUCAGAGGCGAUGAAGGACGUGCUAAUCUGCGAAAAGCGUCGGUAAGGUGAUAUGAACCGUUACAGCCGGCGAUGUCCGAAUGGGGAAACCCAGUGCAAUUCGUUGCACUAUCGUUAACUGAAUACAUAGGUUAACGAGGCGAACCGGGGGAACUGAAACAUCUAAGUACCCCGAGGAAAAGAAAUCAACCGAGAUUCCCCCAGUAGCGGCGAGCGAACGGGGAGCAGCCCAGAGUCUGAAUCAGCUUGUGUGUUAGUGGAACGGUCUGGAAAGUCCGACGGUACAGGGUGAUAGUCCCGUACACCAAAAUGCACAGGCUGUGAACUCGAAGAGUAGGGCGGGACACGUGGUAUCCUGUCUGAAUAUGGGGGGACCAUCCUCCAAGGCUAAAUACUCCUGACUGACCGAUAGUGAACCAGUACCGUGAGGGAAAGGCGAAAAGAACCCCGGCGAGGGGAGUGAAAAAGAACCUGAAACCGUGUACGUACAAGCAGUGGGAGCACCUUCGGGUGUGACUGCGUACCUUUUGUAUAAUGGGUCAGCGACUUAUAUUCUGUAGCAAGGUUAACCGUAUAGGGGAGCCGCAGGGAAACCGAGUCUUAACUGGGCGUUAAGUUGCAGGGUAUAGACCCGAAACCCGGUGAUCUAGCCAUGGGCAGGUUGAAGGUUGGGUAACACUAACUGGAGGACCGAACCGACUAAUGUUGAAAAAUUAGCGGAUGACUUGUGGCUGGGGGUGAAAGGCCAAUCAAACCGGGAGAUAGCUGGUUCUCCCCGAAAGCUAUUUAGGUAGCGCCUCGUGAACUCAUCUUCGGGGGUAGAGCACUGUUUCGGCUAGGGGGUCAUCCCGACUUACCAACCCGAUGCAAACUACGAAUACCGAAGAAUGUUAUCACGGGAGACACACGGCGGGUGCUAACGUCCGUCGUGAAGAGGGAAACAACCCAGACCGCCAGCUAAGGUCCCAAAGUCAUGGUUAAGUGGGAAACGAUGUGGGAAGGCACAGACAGCCAGGAUGUUGGCUUAGAAGCAGCCAUCAUUUAAAGAAAGCGUAAUAGCUCACUGGUCGAGUCGGCCUGCGCGGAAGAUGUAACGGGGCUAAACCAUGCACCGAAGCUGCGGCAGCGACACUAUGUGUUGUUGGGUAGGGGAGCGUUCUGUAAGCCUGCGAAGGUGUGCUGUGAGGCAUGCUGGAGGUAUCAGAAGUGCGAAUGCUGACAUAAGUAACGAUAAAGCGGGUGAAAAGCCCGCUCGCCGGAAGACCAAGGGUUCCUGUCCAACGUUAAUCGGGGCAGGGUGAGUCGACCCCUAAGGCGAGGCCGAAAGGCGUAGUCGAUGGGAAACAGGUUAAUAUUCCUGUACUUGGUGUUACUGCGAAGGGGGGACGGAGAAGGCUAUGUUAGCCGGGCGACGGUUGUCCCGGUUUAAGCAUGUAGGCUGGUUGUCCAGGCAAAUCCGGAUAAUCAAGGCUGAGGUGUGAUGACGAGGCACUACGGUGCUGAAGUAACAAAUGCCCUGCUUCCAGGAAAAGCCUCUAAGCAUCAGGUAACAUUAAAUCGUACCCCAAACCGACACAGGUGGUCAGGUAGAGAAUACCAAGGCGCUUGAGAGAACUCGGGUGAAGGAACUAGGCAAAAUGGUGCCGUAACUUCGGGAGAAGGCACGCUGGUGUGUAGGUGAAGUCCCUGCGGAUGGAGCUGAGACCAGUCGAAGAUACCAGCUGGCUGCAACUGUUUAUUAAAAACACAGCACUGUGCAAACACGAAAGUGGACGUAUACGGUGUGACGCCUGCCCGGUGCCGGAAGGUUAAUUGAUGGGGUUAUCCGUAAGGAGAAGCUCUUGAUCGAAGCCCCGGUAAACGGCGGCCGUAACUAUAACGGUCCUAAGGUAGCGAAAUUCCUUGUCGGGUAAGUUCCGACCUGCACGAAUGGCGUAAUGAUGGCCAGGCUGUCUCCACCCGAGACUCAGUGAAAUUGAACUCGCUGUGAAGAUGCAGUGUACCCGCGGCAAGACGGAAAGACCCCGUGAACCUUUACUAUAGCUUGACACUGAACAUUGAGCCUUGAUGUGUAGGAUAGGUGGGAGGCUUUGAAGCGUGGACGCCAGUCUGCGUGGAGCCAACCUUGAAAUACCACCCUUUAAUGUUUGAUGUUCUAACGUUGGCCCCUUACCGGGGUUGCGGACAGUGUCUGGUGGGUAGUUUGACUGGGGCGGUCUCCUCCCAAAGCGUAACGGAGGAGCACGAAGGUUAGCUAAUCCUGGUCGGACAUCAGGAGGUUAGUGCAAUGGCAUAAGCUAGCUUGACUGCGAGCGUGACGGCGCGAGCAGGUGCGAAAGCAGGUCAUAGUGAUCCGGUGGUUCUGAAUGGAAGGGCCAUCGCUCAACGGAUAAAAGGUACUCCGGGGAUAACAGGCUGAUACCGCCCAAGAGUUCAUAUCGACGGCGGUGUUUGGCACCUCGAUGUCGGCUCAUCACAUCCUGGGGCUGAAGUAGGUCCCAAGGGUAUGGCUGUUCGCCAUUUAAAGUGGUACGCGAGCUGGGUUUAGAACGUCGUGAGACAGUUCGGUCCCUAUCUGCCGUGGGCGCUGGAGAAUUGAGGGGGGCUGCUCCUAGUACGAGAGGACCGGAGUGGACGCAUCACUGGUGUUCGGGUUGUCAUGCCAAUGGCACUGCCCGGUAGCUAAAUGCGGAAGAGAUAAGUGCUGAAAGCAUCUAAGCACGAAACUUGCCCCGAGAUGAGUUCUCCCUGAGACUUUAAGUCUCCUGAAGGAACGUUGAAGACGACGACGUUGAUAGGCCGGGUGUGUAAGCGCAGCGAUGCGUUGAGCUAACCGGUACUAAUGAACCGUGAGGCUUAACCUU
rnacentral:rRNA from 1 species